rnacentral:rRNA from 1 species
AUACGUAGGUGGCGAGCGUUGUCCGGAAUUACUGGGCGUAAAGAGUGCGUAGGCGGAUAUUUAAGUGAGAUGUGAAAUACCCGGGCUUAACCCGGGCACUGCAUUUCAAACUGGAUAUCUAGAGUGCGGGAGAGGAGAAUGGAAUUCCUAGUGUAGCGGUGAAAUGCGUAGAGAUUAGGAAGAACACCAGUGGCGAAGGCGAUUCUCUGGACCGUAACUGACGCUGAGGCACGAAAGCGUGGGUAGCAAACAGGAUUAGAUACCCUGGUAGUCCACGCCGUAAACGAUGAGUACUAGGUGUAGGAGGUAUCGACCCCUUCUGUGCCGCAGUAAACACAAUAAGUACUCCGCCUGGGAAGUACGAUCGCAAGAUUAA